rnacentral:rRNA from 1 species
CCUACGGGAGGCAGCAGUGGGGAAUAUUGCACAAUGGGGGAAACCCUGAUGCAGCGACGCCGCGUGAGUGAAGAAGUAUUUCGGUACGUAAAGCUCUAUCAGCAGGGAAGAAACUGACGGUACCUGACUAAGAAGCCCCGGCUAACUACGUGCCAGCCGCCGCGGUAAUACGUAGGGGGCAAGCGUUAUCCGGAUUUACUGGGUGUAAAGGGAGCGUAGACGGCAGCGCAAGUCUGGAGUGAAAUCCCAUGGCUUAACCAUGGAACUGCUUUGGAAACUGUGCAGCUAGAGUGCAGGAGAGGUAAGCGGAAUUCCUAGUGUAGCGGUGAAAUGCGUAGAUAUUAGGAGGAACACCAGUGGCGAAGGCGGCUUACUGGACUGUAACUGACGUUGAGGCUCGAAAGCGUGGGGAGCAAACAGGAUUAGAUACUCUUGUAGUC